GAUGAACGCUGGCGGCGUGCUUAACACAUGCAAGUCGAACGAUGAAGCCCAGCUUGCUGGGUGGAUUAGUGGCGAACGGGUGAGUAACACGUGAGUAACCUGCCCUUAACUCUGGGAUAAGCCUGGGAAACUGGGUCUAAUACCGGAUAGGAGCGUCCACCGCAUGGUGGGUGUUGGAAAGAUUUAUCGGUUUUGGAUGGACUCGCGGCCUAUCAGCUUGUUGGUGGGGUAAUGGCUCACCAAGGCGACGUCGGGUAGCCGGCCUGAGAGGGUGACCGGCCACACUGGGACUGAGACACGGCCCAGACUCCUACGGGAGGCAGCAGUGGGGAAUAUUGCACAAUGGACGCAAGCCUGAUGCAGCGACGCCGCGUGAGGGAUGACGGCCUUCGAGUUGUAAACCUCUUUCAGUAGGGAAGAAGCGAAAGUGACGGUACCUGCAGAAGAAGCACCGGCUAACUACGUG
rnacentral:rRNA from 1 species